rnacentral:rRNA from 1 species
UACGUAGGGGGCUAGCGUUGUCCGGAAUCAUUGGGCGUAAAGCGUGCGCAGGCGGCGCGUUAAGACAGGUGUGAAAGCCCCGAGCUUAACUUGGGAAUUGCGCUUGUGACUGGCGUGCUGGAGUGUGGCAGAGGGAGGUGGAAUUCCACGUGUAGCAGUGAAAUGCGUAGAGAUGUGGAGGAACACCGAUGGCGAAGGCAAUCCCCUGGGCCUGUACUGACGCUCAUGCACGAAAGCGUGGGGAGCAAACAGG